rnacentral:rRNA from 1 species
GUACGUAGGUGCGAGCGUUGUCCGGAUUUAUUGGGCGUAAAGAGCUCGUAGGCGGCUCGUCGCGUCGACCGUGAAAACCCGCGGCUUAACUGCGGGCUUGCGGUUGAUACGGGCGGGCUAGAGUUCGGUAGGGGAGACUGGAAUUCCUGGUGUAGCGGUGAAAUGCGCAGAUAUCAGGAGGAACACCGGUGGCGAAGACGGGUCUCUGGGCCGAUACUGACGCUGAGGAGCGAAAGCGUGGGAGCGAACAGG